GUCUUUUUGUAUUAAAUAUAAAGUCUAACCUGCCCAUUGAAUAAAUUUUAAAAGGCUGCGGUAUAUUGACCGUACAAAGGUAGCAUAGUCAUUAGUUUUUUAAUUGAAAACUUGUAUGAAUGGUUGAAUGAAAAAUUAACUUUUUUUUGUAAAAAUAAUGAAUUUUACUUUUUAGUUAAAAGGCUAAAAUAAGUUUAAAAGACGAGAAGACCCUAUAGAGUUUAAUAAUUAAUUAUUAUUUUUAAGAAGGAUUAUUUUUUGUAUUAUUAAUAAAAUUAUUUUAUUGGGGUGAUAAUAAAAUUUAUUUAACUUUUAUUAAUUUUUUACAUUAAUAUAUGAUUAUUUGAUCCAAUAAUAUUGAUUAAAAAUUUAAGUUACCUUAGGGAUAACAGCGUAAUUUUUUUUUAAGUUCUUAUUAAUAAAAGAUUUUGCGACCUCCAUGUUGGAUUAAGAUUAAAUUUUAGGUGCAGCAGCUUAAAUUUCAAGUCUGUUCGACUUUUAAAUUCUU
rnacentral:rRNA from 1 species